CUUCAUGCUGCUGCUCACGAAGGGAAAAAGAUUGGAAAACACUGCUUUGAAACUGGGAGGAGGCCACUGAAGACUCCAUGCAGGAAGGAAGAACACAGGCGUCCCUGCAGCUGGACCGCCUCUGCCGUGGUGGGAACUGAUUUUUAAAAGGCACAGCUCCUUCAAGAACUCCACCUCCUGGCCCCAGCCUAACUGCAAGCUCCUCUCCUAUUCCUGGGGCUCCCACUCUCAUGC